rnacentral:rRNA from 1 species
GACGGAGGAGGCAAGCGUUGUCCGGAAUUAUUGGGCGUAAAGAGCGCGUAGGUGGUUUUUUAAGUCAUAUGUGAAAACUUCAGGCUUAACUUGAAGAUUGCAUAUGAAACUGGGAAACUUGAGUGCAGUAGAGGAAAGCGGAAUUCCUGGUGUAGCGGUGAAAUGCGCAGAUAUCAGGAAGAACACCGGUGGCGAAGGCGGCUUUCUGGGCUGCUACUGACACUGAGGCGCGAAAGCUAGGGGAGCAAACAGGAUUAGAUACCCCGGUA